UAAAGCCCAGGCCUAUCUGGGA
rnacentral:piRNA from 1 species